rnacentral:rRNA from 1 species
GACGUAGGGCGCGAGCGUUGUCCGGAAUUAUUGGGCGUAAAGAGCUCGUAGGCGGCUUGUUGCGUCGACUGUGAAAACCCGCGGCUCAACCGUGGGCUUGCAGUCGAUACGGGCAGGCUAGAGUUCGGUAGGGGAGACUGGAAUUCCUGGUGUAGCGGUGAAAUGCGUAGAUAUCUGGAGGAACACCGGUGGCGAAGGCGGCAUCCUGGACCGACACUGACGCUGAGGAGCGAAAGCCAGGGGAGCAAACGGG